UAGUUAACAGUUCUGCAGAACAUUUUAGAAAUGGUAACAUAAGUAUAAACAACAAAACAGUGAGAUUCUGAUACCAACUUCCAGUUCCUCCUCACCAAGACUUUGUGAAAACUCUUCAGCUCAUCUGGCAAAACGAACAGGCAAAUACACAGAUACCAGGACACUUCCUUUUGAACACUUGGCUGCAGAAGCUAAGAGACAUGGGAUAUGCCAAUUGAUUCUUACAUGAUAUGAGAGAUAUAGGCGAGCCAAAAGACUGCAGAGCUUCCAGUUUUAUCUCCUCAGCCAGUCACCAGAAGAAGGUUACAGGUCAUGAACUGCAGACUCAGGAAGAUAAAUUGGCAAAGCAGCACUGUGAUGGAAGAGCUCCUGGCAGCAAUGGAAAUACUGAAGCCCAGCAGAAAGAGUCUAAGUCGAGGAGGCAUGAGGACAAGAUGAUCUGUAAAUGCCCUUGUUUGCAUGGGUGAGAUGUCACCAUUCCCAUACAUUCACAGAGCAACCCACAGAGUGAACUAUAUACCAAGUGAGCAGAGGAUAAAGUAGGAUGAUCACAGGAAGGGUAAACAGGCCCCUCCCUAACCUGGAGUACCCUCACAACAUUUGCUCAGCAAUUUAUGACAAGUCUGCUUUUUAUCCUGCUGUAGACACCUAAAUGAGCCCAGUAUCCCAGUUAAGUCCUGAACCCCCAAAAUUCAUCUAGGCUCAUAUGCCGUCCUAUUGACAUUGCUGCUCUUUUCCUGGUUCCCUCACAUCAACUCUCCAAUUUGUGUGACUAUCCCACACCCCACAACCAUUUUUAGUUUUUAUGUUAGCUCUUAUUCUAACCGGCAAUGUGGAUUAAUGUUUUAAUUUUGAACUUACCAUUCCAAUU